GUUGUCAUCCACAAGCCUUUGAAAGGUAAUGAUUCAGAUGUGCUGUGUAGCGAAGCCAGGAAUGUGAUAAAGGAUGUGCUCAUUCAUCAAGGCUGAGGGAGUUGUUCAACAUGUACUUUCACGUUUAUCUUUUCCACUUAAGCAUCGCAAGUUGGGAUUCAGGGAAUAUGUGCAUACAGAACUUGGUCACAUCAUGAGCAGUUUCAUUCAGGCUUAAGGAUUUUUACCUGGUUCUGUAUACUCUCUUAUGCCUGGAUGAUAUUUGUAUCAGUCAACU
rnacentral:misc_RNA from 1 species